CAGUCGCCACGGUAAUACAGAGGGUGCGAGCGUUAAUCGGAUUUACUGGGCGUAAAGCGUGCGUAGGCGGCUUCUUAAGUCGGAUGUGAAAUCCCUGAGCUUAACUUAGGAAUUGCAUUCGAUACUGGGAAGCUAGAGUAUGGGAGAGGAUGGUAGAAUUCCAGGUGUAGCGGUGAAAUGCGUAGAGAUCUGGAGGAAUACCGAUGGCGAAGGCAGCCAUCUGGCCUAAUACUGACGCUGAGGUACGAAAGCAUGGGGAGCAAACAGGAUUAGAUACCCGCGUAGUCCCUGUCUCUUAUAU
rnacentral:rRNA from 1 species